CUCACAAACACUUUGGCAGCUGGACGUCCCGACCGAGGAAAAGGUGAAAAUAAAAUGCUAAAAUCAGGAUCAUGAUACUGGAAACAAGGACGUCGUCCUUCUUCCGGGACAUCCAGCUGUUCUGUCAUCAAACGUGGCACAAAGCAGAAGCUGCUGAACGAGGGCAUGAACUGAACGGAUCUGAAUUCCAGAAAUCUGGGACCAACGGAGUUCCUGAACCAAUAAGAGACGCCUUUGGAGGGAAGCUGUCAGCUGAUGUCAGCCUAGAGCUUCUGACGGCAUGUGGCAACAGACUGAUUUCAGCCAAACUGCAGCUGGACAGCAGCUGGAUGCAGAUCUGAUACACAAAGUCUAGAAAUGGAAAGUUGUGUCCAUCAGACCAACACAGCGGAUUCUGGGAUGUUCUGCUCUCUUGAGAUGCCGAUCACCAAAGUCUGGACAACACAGCUUUUAAAGAAACCAACUGCUGACUUUUCACAUACUUUUCAGUUUAACGUGUAAAUGUCGUCUUUUUGUGCAUUUUUACUGAAUUUUAUUUGAGUUUUUUUCUUUUUAAACCAAUAAAAACCUCUUCAAUCUGUCUGUCUCUGUCUUAGAUUCAGAGAUGGACUGAAAACACUUGGUGUGCUGGACUAAAUCCAAGCUCAGCUCUUCUGUGCUGGUCUCCUGCAGCCUCUCAGCUGAUGUGGCUGACAGUCUUUUCAUUAUCCGCCAUCUCCAGCUGGCAGCAACAGAAGCUGCUGAGGAAGUUCUUCCUUUCUGGAGACACACGCAGAAAUGAGGAAGGAACAGAAACUGGGAACGAUCCUCGCCUUUUCCACAGGAGCCAACACUCCUUCACCGACUGGGUUCUCUCCUCCACAAAGAGGAGGAUUCAGGAAGCUGCAAAGCUGCCGCUGCAAACAGCUGCACUAACUGCUUGAAGCUACGCUGCAGACCUCAUACGGAGACCUUCAGGAAAACAGGGGCUCUGCGGUGGGCGGGACCCUUGGUUUUAGCCCAGCGUAAUAUGUGUACAGGUCUGGAUCAAAGUCUUCUGUGUUAAGGUCAAGUUCAUGUUCAGUUAAUUACACAAAGCAACGUGAAACUUUUCUUCUUUUCUCUUGUUUUUAUGUGAUUUUGUACAAUAAAUACAAACCUGCUGCAUAUUUGUCAAACUGAAGUUAAUAGAUGUGAAGAACGCUUCACAUUUUCAGCUGCUUUCUGCAAGUAAUGUUGAAAUCGAACUUCACUGCAGCUUUUUAGUCAGACACUAUUCCACUUCUAAAUUUAUCUACAGCUCACUAUUUUCCUCUUGAUUUUAUCGCCUGCUUUUCAAACGGAUCAACCAACAAACACUUUGAAAUACUUCUUCUUUUGUUUGUUUGCAG